CCUACGGGUGGCAGCAGUGGGGGAUAUUGCACAAUGGGGGGAACCCUGAUGCAGCGACGCCGCGUGGGUGAAGAAGGGCCUCGGCGCGUAAAGCCCUGUCAGCAGGGAAGAAAAUGACGGUACCUGAAGAAGAAGCCACGGCUAACGACGGGCCAGCAGCCGCGGUAAUACGUCGGGGGCAAGCGUGAGCCGGAUUGACUGGGGGUAAAGGGGCCGGGGACGGCGUUGCAAGCCAGGAUUGAAAGCCCGGGGCCCAACCCCGGGACUGCUCUUGGAACUGCGUGGCUGGAGUGCAGGAGGGGCAGGCGGAAUUCCUGGUGUAGCGGUGCAAUGCGUAGCUAUCAGGAGGAACACCGGUGGCGAAGGCGGCCCGCUGGACUGCAACUGACGUU
rnacentral:rRNA from 1 species